rnacentral:lncRNA from 1 species
GCCAGUCAUUACCAAUAGAUCACAGAUGACACAGGAAAUAACAUUUAUUUCUAUUCCAGCGUUAAUAUGACACCCCCUGCUAAGGCAACAUGUGUGCAAUUUAAAUGAGAUUGUCACGGUCUUAGCCCAGAGGAGCCAGGAUUUGAUGCCCCUUGGGGUGAAGGGUUGCCCAUCUGGGGGCCCACUGCUUCUGAUCGUGCUGAGGCUCACAGGCCGCCAUUUAGCUUCGGCACCAUUGAUGCUUGGGUGGUCACCUAAGGAAAUCCAAGAGGACAGUUCAUGGUGGGCGUCACACCCUUCUCCUGUCUCCAUCUCCCUUGAGGAGGCCUGAGCCUGUGCCCCUUGCCCAGUCUGUGGCUUUGCUCUGGCCUCAUGAUGGGUUCUGACCUCAUGGGUUCUGUCCUAAAGGCCAUUAUUAGCUAGCUUCUUGCCCACGCCUUGUUUUCAGUCAGGUCCAGGUCUGUGGAGAAUCAUGGGGCUGCUGGUUUGGCCAGAUGGGGCACGCCUAAGGCCGAGCUAUUCCAGCCAGCGACGCCUCGCUUGGCCUAACGUGGCCUCCAGAGCUGCUGGAACUAGGCUCCCCCUCAUCUCUUCAAGGAAGCUAUGACACCAACUUUGUUUUAGGAGAAACAAACCCCAAAUGAAUCAUCUCCAGAGGGACCAGCCGGCGAAUAGAAUGUUCUUAAGAGGGCAUUUUACGUCGUCAAGUUGCUCUAGUGCCGCUGAACUUCGGUUGCCAUUUCUUGGCAGUACGUCUGGAGGCUGUGUUUGCAGCUGUGUGUCAGCACAGGCGUGGCAGGUGUGUUCGCGCCCGAGACUGCGCCUGUGCCCCAGCGCGGGAAGGAAAAUGCCGACUCGGAGAGAAUCGCGAGUCAGGCGCAGCCUCGGGUGCAGGAGAGGGCUGGCGGGAGGCAGGCGCUGGGAGCCGGCCAGGUGGCGGCGCAGGGGGCGCGCACGCCUGCCUCGCUGGGGCGCCCUCCUCUGCCAGGGAAAGAGGCCCGAAGGGGACGGCCAGAAGUGGGGCAGCUGCCUCCCUCCCUCGGUCCCUCUCUUCCCUCUUUCCUUCCUUCCUCCUUCCCUCCCACCUUCCUUUUUUUCCUCCUUUCCUCUCUCUACCUUGCCCUCCUCUCUCUUCUCCCUCCCUCCCACCUUCCUUCUUCCCUCUUUUCCUCCAUCCUUUCCCUCUCCCCCCUUCUUUUCCUCCAGCCUCCCUCCCACCUUCCCUGAGGACCCACCACGCUCCUCAGUUCCCCAAGCUGGCCGCGGCUGCAGGAAGAGAGACUCUGCCCUGGCGACCAGGAACGCUCGGCCUAGGCCUAGCGGGGCACCCGGUGGGAUCCACGUGCUGAUGAGACCUGGGCUGGCUCUCCUGGG